rnacentral:rRNA from 1 species
GUGAGGAAUAUUGGUCAAUGGGCGAGAGCCUGAACCAGCCAAGUCGCGUGAGGGAAGACGGCCCUACGGGUUGUAAACCUCUUUUGUCGGGGAGCAAAGAGCGCCACGCGUGGCGAGAUGAGAGUACCCGAAGAAAAAGCAUCGGCUAACUCCGUGCCAGCAGCCGCGGUAAUACGGAGGAUGCGAGCGUUAUCCGGAUUUAUUGGGUUUAAAGGGUGCGCAGGCGGAGGAUCAAGUCAGCGGUAAAAUAGCGGGGCUCAACCCCGUCGAGCCGUUGAAACUGGUUUUCUAGAGUGAGCGAGAAGUAUGCGGAAUGCGUGGUGUAGCGGUGAAAUGCAUAGAUAUCACGCAGAACUCCGAUUGCGAAGGCAGCAUACCGGCGCCCAACUGACGCUGAAGCACGAAAGCGUGGGUAUCGAACAGG